GCCGGAGUGGCGGAAUUGGCAGACGCACGCGACUCAAAAUCGCGCGGGGCAACCCGUGGGGGUUCGACUCCCCCCUCCGGCA
rnacentral:tRNA from 1 species